GAUGAACGCUGGCGGCGUGCCUAAUACAUGCAAGUCGAGCGAACAGACGAGGAGCUUGCUCCUCUGACGUUAGCGGCGGACGGGUGAGUAACACGUGGAUAACCUACCUAUAAGACUGGGAUAACUUCGGGAAACCGGAGCUAAUACCGGAUAAUAUAUUGAACCGCAUGGUUCAAUAGUGAAAGACGGUUUUGCUGUCACUUAUAGAUGGAUCCGCGCCGCACUAGCUAGUUGGUAAGGUAACGGCUUACCAAGGCGACGAUGCGUAGCCGACCUGAGAGGGUGAUCGGCCACACUGGAACUGAGACACGGUCCAGACUCCUACGGGAGGCAGCAGUAGGGAAUCUUCCGCAAUGGGCGAAAGCCUGACGGAGCAACGCCGCGUGAGUGAUGAAGGACUUCGGAUCGUAAAACUCUGUUAUUAGGGAAGAACAAAUGUGUAAGUAACUAUGCACGUCUUGACGGUACCUAAUCAGAAAGCCACGGCUAACUACGUG
rnacentral:rRNA from 1 species